GAUGAACGCUGGCGGCGUGCCUAAUACAUGCAAGUCGAGCGAACGGACGAGAGGCUUGCUUUUCUGAUGUUAGCGGCGGACGGGUGAGUAACACGUGGAUAACCUACCUAUAAGACUGGGAUAACUUCGGGAAACCGGAGCUAAUACCGGAUAAUAUUUUGAACCGCAUGGUUCAAAAGUGAAAGACGGUCUUGCUGUCACUUAUAGAUGGAUCCGCGCUGCAUUAGCUAGUUGGUAAGGUAACGGCUUACUAAGGCAACGAUGCAUAGCCGACCUGAGAGGGUGAUCGGCCACACUGGAACUGAGACACGGUCCAGACUCCUACGGGAGGCAGCAGUAGGGAAUCUUCCGCAAUGGGCGAAAGCCUGACGGAGCAACGCCGCGUGAGUGAUGAAGGUCUUCGGAUCGUAAAACUCUGUUAUUAGGGAAGAACAUAUGUGUAAGUAACUGUGCACAUCUUGACGGUACCUAAUCAGAAAGCCACGGCUAACUACGUG
rnacentral:rRNA from 1 species